UGUAGACACAUAUUGAUAUGCCUCUACCAUUCAGCAGUCAAAAUGAACUUCUGGAGAUAUUCAUCAGUUCUACCUGCCCUUGAGGAAGGCUGAAAAGAUCUUUUAGGUUCUCCUCAGGCUUCAAGCAGAAGGUGAAAUUCCUGCGUGAAAGCCACUCUCCCUAUACAAGAAAGAAGGCAACAUCCUUAUCUUCAAGGACAAGAAGUCAAGGCUCAGGGCUGAGACAACACUGCACAGACCUUGUUGGAAUAACUCAUCUUUUCAGUCUCUCACAUAAUUUAGUUGCCUCUUCACAGCAUACUACUCUGUGUCCAAUUCAGUAAACAGUACCCUUAACUUCUUCUUUGGUCUUCACUUCUUUAUGAAGGCUUCUAUGCCACAUAAAAUUUGCAUUACAUAAGUGUGUAUGCAUUUCUCCUGUUGGUCUGUCUUAUGUCAAUUUAAUUCUCAAGCCCAGCCAAAAGAAACCCUAAAGGGGAAGCUCGCCUACAAUAGCCUUUCCUUCUGAGCUCAUUUGGCAGCAGCUAAUUAGGAUAUUGCCUUAUUUGUUCUCUAUCUGCCCCCAGCGGCAACAGGCUGAGAAAGUGAAACUCUUACUCCUGGUUACUGCAGAAAGGGGAAAUAGAGGAUGAACUGGGAAUGGUGCAAUUCAUAGAGAAAUUCAACUUAAUAAAGGGCUAAACAGUCACGUGUACACAAGAAGCAAACAGUUACUAUGAAUUAAUUGAUUCAAGCAUAAGACAAGAGGGAGUCACAGAAACUGCAAAUUAGAAAAGAAUACAGUUGGUCACUGAAGGCAUUUAAAUUUAAAGGAAAAUAAUUACGAGGUUCAAAACAGACAAACAAAUGAAAAACAACAAUAACAAAAUGUGUAUCUGUGGCCAGAUAAAUUCCAUGGGCCCCCAAUUAGUUUCUUCUUUAUUAAAAAGACAGAAUAAGUCAUAGACAAGAUGAGCACCUGGCUUUAUAAAUGAAUUAAUGUAGUAAAUAUACUGAAGGAAAGCAUAUGCCAGUAAUAGAAAGAAUAAAAAUCAAACAAAAAUUUAAGUCAGAGAGGCAAGUAUUUGUAAGGGCUAGCCAAUUUCCUAACUCUAUGGGAGAGGUAACUACAAAAAUUAUUCCUAAAACCUGAUUUUUCUCAGGCCUUGAAAAUUUGCAGGCUCCUAAAGUUUAAAGCACAUUUUAGGAAACGCUGUGUAACAC
rnacentral:lncRNA from 1 species